UGGGAGGAGAACCCAGGGCAGUCCCAGGAUACAAUGGAGGGACUUCAGUUCCCUUCUGGCCUGGGAACACUUUGGGAUCCCUGAGAAUGAGCUCAAGGGUGUUGAUGUGGAUAUGGACAUCUGGGUUUGCCUCCUGGACCCUUUACAGCAGUGCCCUAAUCCCAGAUAAGAAAGAGAUGAUGGGUGCAUAGCUGCUUUAGGGCUGCCUGACAUCAGAAAAAUAUGUAACUGCCAUAUUGUAUUUGGAUAUUGUGAUAAAGAAAUUUGGUGUGAUAAGCCUACAUUUUUAAUCAAUCUUCUCUUUCUUGUUUGUCUUCAUGAUAUUCCCGCUACCAUCAUGUGGGCUUUAGCAUCUCAGCAACAUCAGGCAUGGCCACUGAGGGCAGUGCAGGCCCAAAAGCAGAAGCAUGCAGAACAAGAAGACAUUGUGCUUGGAAAAAUAAUUGUCUACCAAGUAUUGCCCUGGCAGUUAUGUUGAUGUGGCACACAUUGGUGAAUGAACAGUGGAGACGUGAAGCAGCUGCAACCGCUUUUUGACCCAAAGAAAUCUGAUUGCUCCUUGCAGGGGGACCUUGUCCUGGGCUGGGCCUGUGCAGUGGUGGUAUUGCUGAAUUGGGGUGUCUCGCUGCCCUACGUCUCACCCUGUGCCUCUUUCACCUGGGGGCAGCUGUUCCUGUGUUUCACCAACGACCUACCGCUGUGGGGAGCUGCCCUGAGACGAUGCCCCGUGUCUGUCUGCCUGGGGCUGCUGUGGCCUUCUGGUGUCCACCUGUCCUUUGCUGCGCUUGGGUGUUGUGCAGUGUUGAUUUAAUGAAGUUAAUCACGCUGUUAGGAUUCCAUCUUGGGUUAUCUUUUUUGUAGAGAAAAUCUGACCUGGCACAUGUAGGCAACCAGCUAUAUGGUAGGCCUGAAAUACGACAAGACGUGAAAAAAAAGGCUUCAUGAGCUGAAGGAUGACUGAUUUAUAAACCCGGUGCAUGUAAACAUCUUAGCAUCAUGUAAUUUUGAUUUGACGGAAAUCAUUUUCGGCUGACAGGGGAUCUGAUGCACCUGGGGGUUGUUGGCUCCAGGAUCUGACAAUCUGUAUUUUUCAGAAUCAUAAUCAUAAUCAGGCACACAUGAUUACACAUAUUGACAUUUUUACUGCUUUAUUAGCUUAAAUGUAGCUUGAUGAACACAAAUCAUCUUAAUAGGUCAGAUCAUGGUUUGUAGUUUAGUUGCAAAAAUAAAUUUGACCUCAUGUUUAUCAGACCAUCUGAUUCCCAACAGACUGAAGCAGCUCUGCGAUCCCCUGAAAUCCUGCAGGAUCUGGAGCCACUUUCACAAGUUCUGCAGAACCAGGAAAUAGGCUGUCUUGCACUGGAAUAUGGAAGGAAUUUUUUGAAGUUAAUAAUCAUCCUAAUUCCAGGCACAUGUGAAAGUGAAUAAUUUGCAAGCAGCAACUUGUGUGCAACCCAGACAGACGUCGUGUCACUUUAACGUAUUUGAUGUCAGAGUCGGUAAACAUCUUCGGAGCACAUCUGCUAUUCCUGUCUGCUCGUCUGUCUCCUCAGAUUUCCAUCUCGGUCUGCCUGCCUCCAUUAUUACCUCGUCUGGCUCCAGAUUCAUGAUUCUGCUUUUAUAAAUUAAACUUUAACAUAAGAACAAACCUAAAGGGUUGCUGCAGUAAGAUGAUGAUCAGGAGGAUGGAGACUGGAGGGAUAGGUUGGAGUUCAGGGAGGUUAGGACUGUUUAGCUGCUUCGCCUGAACAAAGACAUUAAAUUUAAGUUUGGUUGGUUUCCACUGUGAUCAUAGCAGCCAAGGAAAGAAGCUGCAGAGCUUCUAAUGCUGACUAUGAGUGGAUAUGGCAAAGCUUACAGCACAUCACAUACUACAGGGCAAGCACCUGCACCAUCAUGUCCACAGAGCUGGAUCUCAACAUCUGUACUCAGUUUAAGACCUCCAGCUAACACACUUGAAGAACCCGACCCCAUUCCUCACCUCUGAAGGUCUCAUCAUGCCAGGUACAUAAAGCACUGAAGAAGAUAAAGCUCCAUAAGGUAGCAGGUCCUGACAACAUCCCUGGACAGACAGUUAGAGGAUGUGCCAACAAACUGGCUGGAGUUCUCACAUCCUUCGUCAACCUCUUCCUUCACCCGGAUCACUGCUCCCUCCUGAUUCAAGACCACAAUCAUCAGCCCCUCAACCCGGGAAGAGCCUGCACACCUGCCUGAAGGAUUACAGGCCAGUAGGUCUCACUCCAACCAUCAUGAACACCUGCUUGAUCUGCACCCCACCAUCCAUGACUGCUGCCAAUACCUCCUGACUGGCAGGUCCUGAUCUGUCAGGGCUUCAGCCACCUCUACUACUCACACAGGAACACCACAGGGAUGCGUCCUCGGUCCCAUCCACCACUCUCUGUUCACCAGUGACCAGAGGUGUGGAUUCAAGUGCUGAAUGGGAAAUCAGUCAGAUUUGAAUGACAAAUGUAUUAACUCUAGACCCAGAAUGAGGCAGCCGUCUUCCAGAGAGAUGCGUGCAAAGUGGGUAAAAAAUGUCAUACGAAGCGUUACUCUGUACAAUGAUGUCAAAGCACUUUUACUAACACCUUAAAUGCAGACUGGAGCAAAUGUUUAGAGAUAGAUUUCUUCUUAUUGAAAAUCUGCAGACAAUGACGUGAAUAUUGCUUGUGAUUGAUUUUAUCAAACUUUUAUCAAUAAAUGAUAGACAAGA